rnacentral:lncRNA from 1 species
CUUUAUCUGAAAUUAAUGACGUAGUAAAAAGAAAAGUGAUUAUUUGCAUUUCUAAUUGCUUAUUCAAAAUUAUGACACUACCCAAGAGCAUAGAUUAUAGCAAUAGGCUUGAAAUUCUCGGGUUAUGCAUAUCCAUUUUUGAUAUGUAUGUAUGUAUGAAAUUUUUUAUAGGUACAAUUGCACUUUCAUGGACCAUAAAUGUCAGCCUUAUUCCAGAUUUUGUGUUUAUUUUGUCAUUGUAUACAUAUUAGUAAUACGCUAUGUUGUCAAAUUGCAGUUCUGAUCUAUGAACGGGAAAAUACCGAGGCCAAGCAAUUUUUUCCACAUCUUGAAGAAAAGUUGUUGGUGACAGAGAGAGCACAGCAACUUGCUGAAGGGGAGAGUGAAGAUGAUGAAGAAACCAUUGAUGGAAGCACCAAGGGGAGUACUAGCUGUUCAAAAAGCAGUAUGAAGAAAGUGAAGAAAGUUCUGAUUCUGAUGAUUCUGAGGAAAAUUAGUUUGUAAAUUCUUCUGCAAUAUUUCAUUGAUGAUUUUGGUUCUCCAGCAGGCAUUGUUAAACUGUACUACUUAAUCAUAAUUUCUCUCCUGAACUUCAGUAGUCUUUUUUGUGUAUGUAUUAUUUUCAAACUUAUACCUGCAAAAUUUACCUUGUUCUACAACUUGAUGACACAUGCACACUUGAUAUGUGCGGAAGUAAUUGGUAAAACAUUUUCCCCUUGGAGCAGCAAGUCACAUGGAAACUGUGGUGUAGGUUGUUAGUUGUGCAAAAGCAUUGUAUUUUAGGAGCAUUAUGCUUGCCACGUUCCUUUUCAUCAUUUGAACAGGGGAAAACUUAUCUUCCCACGUGAUUACAUGUAACUCUAUUUUGCAAAAUGAUUAUGAUGUCUUAAGUGACAGAAAUGUCACCCUAAAAUAUAAACACAGCUUGCUGAAAAAUGUUGUGCUUGUUAUAGCUUAAUGAACAUUAAUGAAAGAGCGCUUAAGAGUGUUUCAAGUAAAAAUCUGUACUUGAUGUCUUUGUAAAAAUGUAUAAUUUCAGUGAAUGUCUCUUAUCCAGAUUUGGAGAUAAGCCCUGUAACCCAGUUGAGUAAAGGCUGGUUGUAAAGUUGAUCAGAAAAUCUACAUAACUGGUAAGAUUGUGGGACAUUUAUCAGUUUAGUAUUCAGUUAUUGUUAACAUUAAUAAAAUUUAUCCACUGAAAUGGCA